AGCGUUGGCGGCGGCGGCUCCUCCUCGGCCAUCCCCUCGGAGCCGUGCAGCUGACGCGCAUGGCGAAGACAGCGGCGCCUACCGAUGGGAGCAGCGGUUCUCGGCUGGACCGGGUUGGUGGCCUGAAUGUAUUAGCUUUGCUCUGUCUGCCCAAGAGAAAUAAGAAUGUCUAAGCCCCUGGAGGCCGAGAAGCAAAGUCUGGACUCCCCAUCAGAGCACACAGACACCGAAAGAAAUGGACCCGACAUUAACCAUCAGAACCCCCAGAAUAAGGCGUCCCCAUUCUCUGUGUCCCCAACUGGCCCCAGCGCCAAG